GUAGGGUGCGAGCGUUAAUCGGAAUUACUGGGCGUAAAGUGUGCGCAGGCGGCGUCGCAAGUCGAGUGUGAAAGCCCCGAGCUUAACUUGGGAACUGCGCUCGAAACUACGGUGCUGGAGUGUGGCAGAGGAAGGUGGAAUUCCACGUGUAGCGGUGAAAUGCGUAGAGAUGUGGAGGAACACCGAUGGCGAAGGCAGCCUUCUGGGCCAACACUGACGCUCAUGCACGAAAGCGUGGGGAGCAAACAGGAUUAGAUACCCUGGUAGUCCACGCCCUAAACGAUGAUGACUAGUUGUUGGGGGAGUUAAAUCCCUUAGUAACGCAGCUAACGCGUGAAGUCAUCCGCCUGGGGAGUACGGUCGCAAGAUU
rnacentral:rRNA from 1 species